AGGCCGGGUGUGGAAGUGCGGUAACGCAUGGAGCUAACCGGUCCUAAUAACUCUGUUCAUGC
rnacentral:rRNA from 1 species